AUGGAAAUGGAGAGGAGAUCAGUAGUGUAUGAUUCUGAAGGAGGUGAUGAUCAUGAGAGGCAAGGGACGGUGUGGACGGCGACGUCGCACAUCGUGGCGGCGGUGGUCGGCUCCGGCGUGCUGGCACUGGCGUGGACGGUGGCGCAGCUGGGGUGGGUGGUGGGCCCACUCGUCCUUCUGGGCUUCUCCUGCGUUACCUACUACACCUCUACCCUCCUGGCCAACUGCUACCGCUACCCGGACCCCGUCUCCGGCGCCGUCAACCGGGAGUACAUCGACGCCGUCCGGUGCUACCUCGGCCGGAAGAACGUGCUGCUGUGCGGGUGCGCGCAGUACGUGAACCUGUGGGGCACGCUUGUGGGCUACACCAUCACGGCAAGCACCAGCAUGGUCGCGGUGAAGCGAGUCAACUGCUUCCACCGGUCGGGUUUCAGCACGACGGGAUGCAACUCGUCGGGGAGCACGUACAUGGUGCUGUUCGGCCUAAUGCAGCUGCUGCUCUCCCAGCUUCCCAGCCUCCACAACAUCGCCUGGCUCUCCGUCGUCGCCGUCGCCACCUCCUUCGGCUACUCCUUCAUCAGCCUCGGCCUCUGCGCCGCGAAGUGGGCCUCCCAUGGUGGCGUGCGCGGCACCCUCGCCGGCGCCAGCGUCGACGCGCCCCGUGACAAGGCCUUCAACGUCCUCCUGGCCCUCGGCAACAUCGCCUUCUCCUACACCUUCGCCGACGUGCUCAUCGAGAUCCAGGACACUCUCAAGUCUCCUCCCGCGGAGAACAAGACCAUGAAGCGCGCGUCGCUCUACGGCCUCAGCAUGACCACCGUCUUCUACCUCCUCCUCGGCUGCACCGGCUACGCCGCCUUCGGCGACGACGCCCCCGGGAACAUCCUCACGGGUCUGGCCUUCUACGAGCCCUACUGGCUCGUCGACGUCGCCAACGUGUGCGUCAUCAUGCACCUCGCGGGCGCCUACCAGGUGUUCGCGCAGCCCAUCUUCGCGAGGCUGGAGAGCUACGUGGCGUGCCGGUGGCCGGACGCCAAGAUCAUCAACGCCACCUACUAUGUGCGCGUGCCGGGCCGGCCGUCUUCGUCGGUGCCGGUGGCGCCGCUCAAGCUGGUGUUGCGCACCGUCAUCAUCAUGUUCACCACGCUGGUGGCCAUGCUGCUGCCGUUUUUCAACGCCGUGCUGGGGCUCAUCGGCGCGCUAGGAUUCUGGCCGCUGUCCGUCUACUUCCCUGUCAGCAUGCACAUCGCGAGACUCAAGAUCAGGCGCGGCGAGGGGCGGUGGUGCUGGCUGCAGGCUAUGAGCUUUGUCUGCCUCCUCAUCUCCCUCGCCGCAAGCAUCGGGUCCGUGCAGGACAUCGUGCACAACCUCAAGACCGCCACCCCCUUCUAG
rnacentral:rRNA from 1 species